GUGCGCUGGCGGCACGCCUAAUACAUGCAAGUCGAACGGAGUAGCAAUACUUAGUGGCAGACGGGUGAGUAACAUGUGGGUAUCUUCCCUUUGGUGAGGAAUAACACGAGGAAACUUGUGCUAAUACCUCAUAAGUCUUUACGGAGAAAGCUUUAUGCGCCAAUGGAUGAGUCCGCACUUGAUUAGUUUGUUGGUAGGGUAAUGGCCUACCAAGACUGUGAUCAAUAGCUGAUUUGAGAGGAUGAUCAGCCACAUUGGGACUGAGACACGGCCC
rnacentral:rRNA from 1 species